GAAGAAUGAGGAAGGAGCAAUAAAAAUAACACAAAGCUAAAACCCAAAAUAGUUCAUCCUUUGAGUGUGGGUAUUCCUGGCCUGAGAAUCUCAAGAAAUCAGCUCCUUCUGGCUUCCUGGUGGGUGCACCCAAGGGUCCAUAAACCUCUGCUCUAAAUCACUGUGUUCAUGGUUAUCCUGAUGUAAUUAAUGUGAAAUUCAGCUCCAGAUAUCCCAAAUCUCUAUGUGACAUAAAUAAUAAUAAUAAUAAUAAUCACUGCUUAGAAUCA
rnacentral:lncRNA from 1 species